UACGUAGGGUGCGAGCGUUAAUCGGAAUUACUGGGCGUAAAGCGUGCGCAGGCGGUUUUGUAAGCCAGAUGUGAAAUCCCCGGGCUUAACCUGGGAAUGGCAUUUGGGACUGCAAGGCUGGAGUGCGGCAGAGGAGACUGGAAUUCCUGGUGUAGCAGUGAAAUGCGUAGAUAUCAGGAGGAACACCGAUGGCGAAGGCAGGUCUCUGGGCUGACACUGACGCUCAUGCACGAAAGCCAGGGGAGCGAACGGG
rnacentral:rRNA from 1 species